GAGAGUGGGUUAGUCCGCACGAGCGCACCUUACUUUUAGUUGCUACCAUUUAGUUGGGCACUCUAAAAGAACUGCCGGUGAUAAGCUGGAGGAAGGUGGGGAUGACGUCAAGUCCUCAUGGCCCUUAUGUGUUGGGCUACACACGUGCUACAAUGGUAUUUACAGUGGGAUGCAAAGAGGCAACUCCUAGCCAACCCUCAAAGAAUACCUCAGUUCGGAUUGUACUCUGCAACUCGAGUACAUGAAGCUGGAAUUACUAGUAAUCGCAGAUCAGCGCGCCGCGGUGAAUACGUUCCCGGGUCUUGUACACACCGCCCGUCACGCCAUGGAAGUCAGUAGUACCCGAAUCGAGUGGCCCAACCUUAGGGAGGGAGCUCGUUAAGGUAAGACUGGUAACUGGGGCGAAGUCGUAACAAGGUAGCCGUACCGGAAGGUGCGGCUGGAUCACCUCCUUUU
rnacentral:rRNA from 1 species